CGGAUUUGGAUCGGGGAAAAACGAAAGCAGUUGAAUAGUCGAUCGUGUCCGUUGAUAUCCGAGUUAAAAACCAAGCUGCAGACUCGGAGAUCGUUAGUGAAGAUCAUCACUCUAUCUACUAUCUCGGUAUUAAAACGUUUAAAUUUUAGCUUAUGGCAUGUAUAGGCUAAAUAAAAUUUUGGGAGUCGUACUUUAAUGUACUGUAUAUAUAUAAUUAAUAGCCAUAUGAAACUAGCUUUUUUUUUUCUUACGGUUUAACUGAACUGAAAUGUUAUGUUUUGUUAUAAAAGGUUAAAGCAAAAUUUAUAAUUAUACUUA